rnacentral:rRNA from 1 species
GACGAACGCUGGCGGCGUGCUUAACACAUGCAAGUCGAACGGAAAGGCCCUGCUUUUGUGGGGUGCUCGAGUGGCGAACGGGUGAGUAACACGUGCGUAACCUGCCCUUGACUUUGGGAUAACUUCCGGAAACUGGGGCUAAUACCGGAUAGGAGCUCCUGCUGCAUGGUGGGGGUUGGAACGUUUCGGCGGUUGGGGAUGGACUCGCGGCUUAUCAGCUUGUUGGUGGGGUAGUGGCUUACCAAGGCUUUGACGGGUAGCCGGCCUGAGAGGGUGACCGGCCACAUUGGGACUGAGAUACGGCCCAGACUGGUACGGGAGGCAGCAGUGGGGAAUAUUGCACAAUGGGCGGACGCCUGAUGCAGCAACGCCGCGUGCGGGAUGACGGCCUUCGGGUUGUAAACCGCUUGCGCAUGUGACGAAGCGUGAGUGACGGUAAUGGGUAAAGAAGCACCGGCUAACUACGUG